rnacentral:rRNA from 1 species
AUGGCGACACGCAGCGGCGGCGGCUGUGGUGAAGGAGAGGAUGAAGGAGAGAAGGAGCACCUGAGGCCGGAGGGCGACAACGCGAUGAAGAUGACGGGCGGCGGCGGUGAAGUUCCUGCCGCAUCUAGCCAGUCGUCGGCGUCGUACGACGUGGGAGCCAGGUCGGCGGCGGCAUUGGCUAAGGUGUGGAAGGCCAACCCUAGCCAAAGCCACCAUUGUACCUCUGGUCUUGGCGGUGUCGACUUGGAUGAUGAAAUUUGGGAUGUUUGGUUUAAUUUCAUUGGAAAAGACAAUUAUGAGAGGUAG